rnacentral:rRNA from 1 species
CCUACGGGAGGCAGCAGUGAGGAAUAUUGGUCAAUGGACGAAAGUCUGAACCAGCCAUGCCGCGUGCAGGAAGACGGCUCUAUGAGUUGUAAACUGCUUUUGUACAAGGGUAAACCUGAAUACGUGUAUUCAGCUGAAAGUACUGUACGAAUAAGGAUCGGCUAACUCCGUGCCAGCAGCCGCGGUAAUACGGAGGAUCCAAGCGUUAUCCGGAUUUAUUGGGUUUAAAGGGUGCGUAGGCGGAUUGAUAAGUUAGAGGUGAAAUGUCCGGGCUCAACUCGGGAACUGCCUCUAAUACUGUUGAUCUAGAGAGUAGGUGCGGUAGGCGGAAUGUAUGGUGUAGCGGUGAAAUGCUUAGAGAUCAUACAGAACACCGAUUGCGAAGGCAGCUUACCAAUCUAUAUCUGACGUUGAGGCACGAAGGCGUGGGGAGCGAACAGGAUUAGAUACCCUUGUAGUC